AACAGGGUGUGUUAUAUCCUUUAAAUUAUAAUUACACAAUUGCCUUUGUUUUUCUGUAUUACCUGAAGUUUAGCUUUCCAUGCCGCCUUAAGCUCUAUUUUAUUUAUUUAUUUGAUUUGGCUCCACCUCCUUCUAUACUCCCGCCCACAUUCCAGAGUACCCGAUAAGUUUCCCGCGCCCCCUGCCCUCUUCCCUUUGUUUGCGAUACCCUUGGGAAGAGGUGUGUACAUUUAUAUUGUAAUCAAAUCUUUGACCAUCUUAUAAUUUAUCAUUAUUUAUAUUAGUUAUUUUGAUUAUAGAUUGUUUAAUUGGAAGUCUGGGGUAUAUAUCUAUCCAUAGUUAUUAGAUAGAUUUCAGUGUUUUGGGGAACUUUGUGUUUUGUUGCGAUGUCCUAGCAUACACCUGACCCUCGUGUAGUCAUGCUAGUUCCCCUUCCCCCCCUGUGUGUUUCGUAGAGGAGUUGGAGUAAGGGCACAAGUGCUAAGAGGAAGCUAUUUGUACAUGUGUGUAUUCAGGUUUUGUGGGCACAUUUGGAAAAGCCGUGUGAAGAUGAACACAUGAAACUGGAACGAUCUAUGCCAACAAUUGACGUCAAGGUGGUUCCAAAGUGUCUCAAAGUUGGAAGGUUGCCUUCCUGGUUCCUACUCCGACCCGGCUGGCCUCCCGCAUCAACCAGCCUCUGCUCCGUUCCCAUCAAAUAAACAUUCAACCCUCGUGUGUGUUAUGCAUUUGGGCUCCCCGAACCUCGUGCUGUAACAGAAGGUUCGUACAUGACUGGAUGUAUACGUGAUGGAGCACACACACUCCAUCACAUUUAUAUAUCCAGUGUCGGUGGCCACUCUCUCCACCCUCAGUCUUCGACACAAGACAAUCAGGUGUAGAAAUGAAAGUUCUAAGUUUCAUGCAGGUUGUGUAAACUUUCAGCUUCCUUCUAUUAUUUCUCUUGUGCAAACAAAAAAAGUGAUUUAAACUUAUCAAACCACUAUUGUGAAAUAUGUCACCAGAUUGCUACAUCAGUCUGUGUGCUCUUUAUAAUAUUGACACAAUUUAGAUAGAAAUUGCAAUCACUUUGCUAGAACUAUUACA